UAGAGAAUCUUCGGCAAUGGACGAAAGUCUGACCGAGCAACGCCGCGUGAGUGAAGAAGGUUUUCGGAUCGUAAAACUCUGUUGGUAGAGAAGAACGUUGGUGAGAGUGGAAAGCUCAUCAAGUGACGGUAACUACCCAGAAAGGGACGGCUAACUACGUGCCAU
rnacentral:rRNA from 1 species